UCUAGGAAGUGCGCUGGAGAAAUCCUUAGCUGUCAGCCAAGGUGGAGAGCUCUAUGAAGAGUGGCUGGAACUUAGAAACGGUUGCCUCUGCUGUUCAGUGAAGGACAGUGGCCUUAGAGCUAUUGAGAAUUUGAUGCAAAAGAAGGGGAAAUUUGAUUACAUACUGUUAGAGACCACUGGAUUAGCAGACCCUGGUAAGAAGUGAGAUUAUUAAUAACCAGAAUAUAGUUCUGUGAUAUAUUGUAAAUAGAUGUAUUAGAGGAAUAUCUAAAAUGAGGAUUAAAGCUUUUGUUAGUAUUAAACCAAAAACUUUUUUUGGUUUAAAAGAGGAAAAGUACUCGGUUGUCAUUUUCUUUGGCAGUUGAAUGAAUGAACAGAGUAUUUCUUGGUACUUUUAAGCUGUUAAUAGAAUUUGAAGUUUUAUUGAUUGACUUAGGAUUAUUUGUAAGAACAGAAGUUGUUAAAAAUAAGGACAUGUAGGAAGAGCAGAGACGUUCUACCUCUAAGUACAGUUGUCCCUUGGCAUCCAUGGGGUAUUAGUUCCGGAAUCUCUGAGGAUACCAAAAUCUAUUAAUGUUCAAGUCCCUUACAUAAAAUGGUGUAGUAUUUGCCUAUAAGCUAUGCACAUCCUCCCAUAUACUUUAAAUCAUCUGUAGAUUACUUAUAAUACCUAAUACAA
rnacentral:lncRNA from 1 species